CGCGCGCGCCUACCACACACUUUUCCCCGGUCCCUGCCGGCCACCUCCCCCGCCGGGCGCCGGCGCCUAUUGGAGCGCCUCGGGGGCGGGGGAGGGGCGGAGCGCGCCUCUUGAUGGACGGCGGCAUUUCCGGCUCUCGCGAGUCUGGGUGGGAGCGCGCCAAAUUUCUCCAGUGAAGCAGAGGCGGUAGCCAACGGCUCCAUGGCUCUGAGGAGCGGCGGGCGGCGGCGCGCGGACCCAGGCGCGGAUGGCGAGGCCAGCAGGGAUGAUGGCGCCACUUCCUCAGUUUCGGUACUCAAGCGCCUGGAACGGAGUCAGUGGACGGAUAAGAUGGAUUUGCGGUUUGGUUUUGAGCGGCUGAAGGAGCCUGGUGAGAAGACAGGCUGGCUCAUUAACAUGCAUCCUACCGAGAUUUUAGAUGAAGAUAAGCGCUUAGGCAGUGCAGUGGAUUACUACUUUAUUCAAGAUGACGGAAGCAGAUUUAAGGUGGCCUUGCCCUAUAAACCGUAUUUCUACAUUGCAACCAGAAAGGGUUGUGAGCGAGAAGUUUCAUCUUUUCUCUCCAAGAAGUUUCAGGGCAAAAUUGCAAAAGUGGAGACUGUCCCCAAAGAGGAUCUGGACUUGCCAAAUCACUUGGUGGGUUUGAAGCGAAAUUACAUCAGGCUGUCCUUCCACACUGUGGAGGAUCUUGUCAAAGUGAGGAAGGAGAUCUCCCCUGCCGUGAAGAAGAACAGGGAGCAGGAUCACGCCAGCGACGCGUACACAGCUCUGCUUUCCAGUGUUCUGCAGAGGGGCGGUGUCAUUACUGAUGAAGAGGAAACCUCUAAGAAGAUAGCUGACCAGUUGGACAACAUUGUGGACAUGCGCGAGUACGAUGUUCCCUACCACAUCCGCCUCUCCAUUGACCUGAAGAUCCACGUGGCUCAUUGGUACAAUGUCAGAUACCGAGGAAAUGCUUUUCCGGUAGAAAUCACCCGCCGAGAUGACCUUGUUGAACGACCUGACCCUGUGGUUUUGGCAUUUGACAUUGAGACGACCAAACUGCCCCUCAAGUUUCCUGAUGCUGAGACAGACCAGAUUAUGAUGAUUUCCUACAUGAUCGAUGGCCAGGGCUACCUCAUCACCAACAGGGAGAUUGUUUCAGAAGAUAUUGAAGAUUUUGAGUUCACCCCCAAGCCAGAAUAUGAAGGGCCCUUUUGUGUCUUCAAUGAACCCGAUGAGGCUCAUCUGAUCCAAAGGUGGUUUGAACACGUCCAGGAGACCAAACCCACCAUCAUGGUCACCUACAACGGGGACUUUUUUGACUGGCCAUUUGUGGAGGCCCGGGCAGCAGUCCACGGUCUGAGCAUGCAGCAGGAGAUAGGCUUCCAGAAGGACAGCCAGGGGGAGUACAAGGCGCCCCAGUGCAUCCACAUGGACUGCCUCAGGUGGGUGAAGAGGGACAGUUACCUUCCUGUGGGCAGUCAUAAUCUCAAGGCGGCCGCCAAGGCCAAGCUAGGCUAUGAUCCCGUGGAGCUAGACCCGGAGGACAUGUGCCGGAUGGCCACGGAGCAGCCCCAGACUCUGGCCACGUAUUCUGUGUCAGAUGCUGUCGCCACUUACUACCUGUACAUGAAGUACGUCCACCCAUUCAUCUUUGCUCUGUGCACCAUUAUUCCCAUGGAGCCCGACGAGGUGCUGCGGAAGGGCUCUGGCACGCUAUGUGAGGCCUUGCUGAUGGUGCAGGCCUUCCACGCCAACAUCAUCUUCCCCAACAAGCAAGAGCAGGAGUUCAAUAAGCUGACGGACGACGGACACGUGCUGGACUCUGAGACCUACGUCGGGGGCCACGUGGAGGCCCUCGAGUCUGGGGUUUUCCGCAGCGAUAUCCCUUGCCGGUUUAGGAUGAAUCCUGCUGCCUUUGACUUCCUGCUGCAGCGGGUUGAGAAGACCUUGCGCCACGCCCUUGAGGAAGAGGAGAAAGUGCCUGUGGAGCAAGUCACCAACUUUGAAGAGGUGUGUGAUGAGAUUAAGAGCAAGCUUGCCUCCCUGAAGGACGUUCCCAGCCGCAUCGAGUGUCCACUCAUCUACCACCUGGACGUGGGGGCCAUGUACCCCAACAUCAUCCUGACCAACCGCCUGCAGCCCUCUGCCAUGGUGGACGAAGCCACCUGUGCUGCCUGUGACUUCAAUAAGCCUGGAGCAAACUGCCAGCGGAAGAUGGCCUGGCAGUGGAGGGGCGAGUUCAUGCCAGCCAGUCGCAGCGAAUACCAUCGGAUCCAGCACCAGCUGGAGUCAGAGAAGUUCCCCCCCUUGUUCCCAGAGGGGCCAGCUCGGGCCUUUCAUGAACUGUCCCGCGAGGAACAGGCGAAAUACGAGAAGAGAAGGCUGGCGGAUUACUGCCGGAAAGCCUACAAGAAGAUCCACAUCACCAAGGUGGAAGAGCGUCUCACCACCAUCUGCCAGCGGGAAAACUCCUUCUACGUGGACACCGUGCGUGCCUUCCGGGACAGGCGUUACGAGUUCAAAGGGCUCCACAAGGUGUGGAAAAAGAAGCUCUCGGCGGCCGUGGAGGUGGGCGACGCGGCUGAGGUGAAGCGCUGCAAGAACAUGGAGGUGCUGUAUGACUCGCUGCAGCUGGCCCACAAGUGCAUCCUGAACUCCUUCUAUGGCUAUGUCAUGCGCAAGGGGGCUCGCUGGUACUCCAUGGAGAUGGCUGGCAUCGUCUGCUUCACAGGGGCCAACAUCAUCACCCAGGCACGGGAGCUGAUCGAGCAGAUUGGGAGGCCCUUAGAGCUGGACACAGAUGGAAUAUGGUGCGUCCUGCCCAACAGCUUCCCAGAAAAUUUUGUCUUCAAGACGACUAAUGUGAAGAAGCCCAAAGUGACCAUCUCCUACCCAGGCGCCAUGUUGAACAUCAUGGUCAAGGAAGGCUUCACCAAUGACCAGUACCAGGAGCUGGCUGAGCCGUCCUCACUCACCUACGUCACCCGCUCAGAGAACAGCAUCUUUUUUGAGGUUGAUGGGCCCUACCUUGCCAUGAUUCUUCCAGCCUCCAAGGAAGAAGGCAAGAAAUUGAAGAAGAGGUAUGCUGUGUUCAAUGAAGACGGUUCUCUGGCUGAGCUCAAGGGCUUUGAGGUCAAACGCCGCGGGGAACUGCAGCUGAUUAAGAUCUUCCAAUCCUCGGUGUUUGAGGCCUUCCUCAAGGGCAGCACGCUGGAAGAGGUGUAUGGCUCUGUAGCCAAGGUGGCUGACUACUGGCUGGACGUGCUGUACAGCAAGGCAGCCAACAUGCCUGACUCUGAGCUAUUCGAGCUCAUCUCUGAGAACCGUUCCAUGUCUCGGAAGCUGGAAGAUUACGGGGAGCAGAAGUCUACAUCCAUCAGCACAGCAAAGCGCCUGGCCGAGUUCCUGGGAGACCAGAUGGUCAAGGAUGCAGGGCUGAGUUGCCGCUACAUCAUCUCCCGCAAGCCCGAGGGCUCCCCUGUCACGGAGAGGGCCAUCCCACUUGCCAUUUUCCAAGCAGAGCCCACGGUGAGGAAGCACUUUCUCCGGAAAUGGCUCAAGAGCUCUUCCCUUCAAGACUUUGAUAUUCGAGCAAUUCUGGAUUGGGACUACUACAUUGAGCGGCUGGGAAGCGCCAUCCAGAAGAUCAUCACCAUCCCUGCGGCCCUGCAGCAGGUAAAGAACCCAGUGCCACGUGUCAAACACCCCGACUGGCUGCACAAAAAACUGCUGGAGAAGAAUGAUGUCUACAAGCAGAAGAAGAUCAGUGAGCUCUUCACCCUGGAGGGCAGGAGACAGGUCACGAUGGCCGAGGCCUCAGAAGACAGUCCGAGGCCAAGUGCUCCUGACAUGGAGGACUUCGGCCUCGUAAAGCUGCCUCACCCAGCAGCCCCUGUCACUGUGAAGAGGAAGCGAGUUCUUUGGGAGAGCCAGGAGGAGUCCCAGGACCUCACGCCGACUGUGCCCUGGCAGGAAAUCUUGGGGCAGCCUCCCGCCCUGGGAACCACCCAGGAGGAGUGGCUUGUCUGGCUCCGGUUCCACAAGAAGAAGUGGCAGCUACAGGCCCGGCAGCGCCUCGCCCGCAGGAAGAGGCAGCGUCUGGAGUCGGCAGAGGGUGUGCUGAGGCCCGGGGCCAUCCGGGAUGGUCCUGCCACGGGGCUGGGGAGCUUCUUGCGAAGAACUGCCCGCAGCAUCCUGGACCUUCCGUGGCAGAUUGUGCAGAUCAGCGAGACCAGCCAGGCCGGCCUGUUCAGGCUGUGGGCGCUCGUUGGCAGUGACUUGCACUGCAUCAGGCUGAGCAUCCCCCGUGUGUUCUACGUGAACCAGCGAGUCGCUAAAGCGGAGGAGGGCGCUUCGUAUCGCAAGGUAAAUCGGGUCCUUCCUCGCUCCAACGUGGUCUACAAUCUCUAUGAGUAUUCAGUGCCAGAGGACAUGUACCAGGAACACAUCAACGAGAUCAACGCUGAGCUGUCAGCGCCAGACAUCGAGGGCGUAUAUGAGACUCAGGUUCCGUUACUGUUCCGGGCCCUGGUGCACCUGGGCUGUGUGUGUGUGGUCAAUAAACAGCUGGUGAGGCACCUUUCAGGCUGGGAAGCAGAGACUUUUGCUCUUGAGCACCUGGAGAUGCGCUCUCUGGCCCAGUUCAGCUACCUGGAACCAGGGAGUAUCCGCCAUAUCUACCUGUACCACCACGCACAGGCCCACAAAGCGCUCUUCGGGAUCUUCAUCCCCUCACAGCGCAGGGCGUCCGUCUUUGUGCUGGACACUGUGCGCAGCAACCAGAUGCCCAGCCUUGGUGCCCUGUACUCAGCAGAGCACAGCCUCCUCCUGGAGAAGGUGGGCCCUGAGCUCCUGCCACCCCCCAAACACACCUUCGAAGUUCGGGCAGAAACUGACCUGAAGACCAUCUGCAGAGCCAUCCAGCGAUUCCUGCUCGCCUACAAGGAGGAGCGCCGGGGGCCCACACUCAUCGCUGUUCAGUCCAGCUGGGAGCUGAAGAGGCUGGCCAGUGAGAUUCCUGUCUUGGAGGAAUUCCCACUGGUGCCUAUCUGUGUGGCUGACAAGAUCAACUAUGGGGUCCUGGACUGGCAGCGCCAUGGAGCCCGGCGCAUGAUCCGUCACUACCUCAACCUGGACACCUGCCUGUCGCAGGCCUUCGAGAUGAGCAGGUACUUUCACAUUCCCAUUGGGAACCUACCAGAGGACAUCUCCACAUUCGGCUCCGACCUCUUCUUUGCCCGCCACCUCCAGCGCCACAACCACCUGCUCUGGCUGUCCCCUACAGCCCGCCCUGACCUGGGUGGAAAGGAGGCUGAUGACAACUAUCUUGUCAUGGAGUUCGAUGACCAAGCCACUGUUGAGAUCAACAGUUCAGGCUGUUACUCCACAGUGUGUGUGGAGCUGGACCUUCAGAACCUGGCCGUCAACACCAUUCUCCAGUCUCACCAUGUCAACGACAUGGAGGGGGCCGACAGCAUGGGGAUCAGCUUCGACGUGAUCCAGCAGGCCUCCCUGGAGGACAUGAUCACGGGUGGUCAGGCUGCCAGUGCCCCGGCCAGCUACGAUGAGACAGCCCUGUGCUCUAACACCUUCAGGAUCCUGAAGAGCAUGGUCGUGGGCUGGGUGAAGGAGAUCACCCAGUACCACAACAUCUAUGCAGACAACCAGGUGAUGCACUUCUACCGCUGGCUUCGGUCGCCAUCCUCUCUGCUUCAUGACCCCGCCCUGCACCGCACACUCCACAACAUGAUGAAGAAGCUCUUCCUGCAGCUCAUCGCUGAGUUCAAGCGCCUGGGGUCAUCAGUCAUCUACGCCAACUUCAACCGCAUCAUCCUCUGUACAAAGAAGCGCCGUGUGGAAGAUGCCAUCGCUUACGUGGAGUACAUCACCAGCAGCAUCCAUUCGAAGGAGAUCUUCCAUUCUUUGACGAUUUCUUUCUCUCGAUGCUGGGAAUUUCUUCUCUGGAUGGAUCCAUCUAACUAUGGCGGAAUCAAAGGAAAAGUUUCAUCUCGUAUUCACUGCGGACUGCAAGACUCCCAGAAAGCAGGGGGAGCAGAGGAUGAGCAGGAAAAUGAGGACGAUGAGGAGGAAAGAGAUGGGGAGGAGGAGGAAGAGGCGGAGGAAUCCAACGUGGAGGAUUUACUGGAAAACAACUGGAACAUUUUGCAGUUUUUGCCACAGGCAGCCUCCUGCCAGAACUACUUCCUCAUGAUUGUUUCAGCGUACAUCGUGGCCGUGUACCACUGUAUGAAGGACGGGCUGAGGCGCAGUGCUCCAGGGAGCACCCCCGUGAGGAGGAGGGGGGCCAGCCAGCUCUCCCAGGAGGCCGAGGGGGCGGUCGGAGCCCUUCCCGGAAUGAUCACCUUCUCUCAGGAUUAUGUCGCAAAUGAACUCACUCAGAGCUUCUUCACCAUCACUCAGAAGAUUCAGAAGAAAGUCACAGGCUCUCGGAACUCCACUGAGCUCUCGGAGAUGUUUCCUGUCCUCCCCGGUUCCCACUUGCUGCUCAAUAACCCUGCCCUGGAGUUCAUCAAAUACGUGUGCAAGGUGCUGUCCCUGGACACCAACAUCACAAACCAGGUGAAUAAGCUGAACCGAGACCUGCUUCGCCUGGUGGAUGUCGGCGAGUUCUCUGAGGAGGCCCAGUUCCGAGACCCCUGCCGCUCCUACGUGCUUCCUGAGGUCAUCUGCCGCAGCUGUAACUUCUGCCGCGACCUGGACCUGUGUAAAGACUCUUCCUUCUCAGAGGAUGGGGCGGUCCUGCCUCAGUGGCUCUGCUCCAACUGUCAGGCGCCCUACGACUCCUCUGCCAUCGAGAUGACGCUGGUGGAAGUUCUACAGAAGAAGCUGAUGGCCUUCACCCUGCAGGACCUGUGGAAGGAGGCAGACACUCCCAAGUGUGAAGAGAAGGAAAGGAGGAAGAGGGAGUUGCGCAGCUCGGCCACAGGAAGGUCUUGCCGAGGGGCAUCUGAGCAGAGGCUGGGGGACGCGCCAAGCUGCCGUGUGGUGGUGCACGGCGUUCAGGCCUGCAGGAUGGAGGGAGUGAGCAGGGCCUGGAGGAGGCCUCAGGACUGGGCGUCUGGGGUGGAACACCCACAGCGAGGGUGGGUGUAGGGAAGGCGCUGGCACGGAGGGAUGAGGUCGUGCAUUUUACUCAUAACCGAGGGCUGGCUGCACACAGCAGGGGCUCGAGGCUUACUGAUGGGCCCACGAAUGUGUCUCGCGAGCCUGUGAAGAAGCAGCAGGCAGGUCUGGCCAGCGCGGGAGGGCUGGCGCCCAUCGGGGCUGCUCCCUUUCAGGUCUGCCUGAAGUGCCGCGGGGUGAAGGAGACCAGCAUGCCUGUGUACUGCAGCUGCGCGGGAGACUUCGCCCUCACCAUCCACACCCAGGUCUUCAUGGAACAGAUCGGAAUCUUCCGGAACAUUGCCCAGCACUACAGCAUGUCGUACCUCCUGGAGACCCUGGAGUGGCUGCUGCAGAAGAACCCACAGCUGGGCCGUUAGCCAGCCCCGGGCCCCGGGUGCCUCUGCGUCCGUGCCAGGCCUCCUGAUGCCAAGGCCACAUCCCCGUGCUUCCAGUGACCAGACCACUGACCACCCUGACUGUCCAAACCUGUGACCCCAGGCCAGGGAACGGGGAGGAAACCAAAGAAAACCAUUUUCAGGGAGCUCAGACGUCACAGAAGGGAGUGGGAGCAGGAUGUGGCCCUGGCCUCGCCAGAGCACCUGAAGAAGCAGGCCGUGAGCGAGGCUGCGACUGCCCUGGGUGCCAUUUCUCACACAGUGAAUGCUUUUCCAGGCCUCUGUUGCUUCCUGCACCACACCUGGUGGGGUGGGAGCAUCCUCUAGGUGCCCCUAGUUCUUUGUCCUGCCUCCCAGAGGGAGGAAAAGCCCCUAGGGGCUUCUGGCUCCCUGAGAUUGGGCUCUGAGACGAGACGGGUUCCCAAGGCCCUGGUGGGGCUGGAGUCUCACCUGUUUGCAUGGAGAAAUGGGCUGGCCCCACAGCCUCACAGGAGCAGUUUGUGGGCUGGUUUCCCGGGGAAUCUGGACCCUAACCCGUGAGAAUCUGGAUUUUGGCUUGUGAGCCCUGCUCAUUUGGAGCCGGGUCUAGAGGGAACUCUCUAUCAGCCUCAGGAAAACAAGACCUCUGUGCACCUCACUUUUGGCUCACUGCAGCCCUUGUCCUUCACCUCCACACAGGACCAGCUGGAAGCAGAAAGAAGAAAGGCCAAUUUCACAGGGCACCAAACAAGUAUGAAAUGUAAAUCAGAAAUGCAGACACCCCAGACGAGAGCCUCACAGGAGGGAGGGGGCCCCACAGGCUCCCCAGGAGGCUCGCGUCUUUGGCCCAGAGCCAGCCUUAGUUUGUCCCUGCCAUGUACUGUCCGAGGCCAUCGCUGCUACACUUUGUUUUUAUUUGUAUUUCAUACUGAAGUUUC